rnacentral:rRNA from 1 species
AGGAUGACCAGCCACACUGGAACUGAGACACGGUCCAGACUCCUACGGGAGGCAGCAGUGGGGAAUAUUGCACAAUGGGCGCAAGCCUGAUGCAGCCAUGCCGCGUGUAUGAAGAAGGCCUUCGGGUUGUAAAGUACUUUCAGCGGGGAGGAAGGGAGUAAAGUUAAUACCUUUACUCAUUGACGUUACCCGCAGAAGAAGCACCGGCUAACUCCGUGCCAGCAGCCGCGGUAAUACGGAGGGUGCAAGCGUUAAUCGGAAUUACUGGGCGUAAAGCGCACGCAGGCGGUUUGUUAAGUCAGAUGUGAAAUCCCCGGGCUCAACCUGGGAACUGCAUCUGAUACUGGCA